rnacentral:rRNA from 1 species
UACGGAGGAUGCAAGCGUUAUCCGGAAUGAUUGGGCGUAAAGCGUCCGCAGGUGGCAAUGUAAGUCUGCUGUCAAAGCGUCUGGCUCAACCAGAUAAAGGCAGUGGAAACUACAUAGCUAGAGUAAGGUAGGGGUAGAGGGAAUUCCUGGUGUAGCGGUGAAAUGCGUAGAGAUCAGGAAGAACACUGGUGGCGAAAGCGCUCUGCUGGACCGUAACUGACACUGAGGGACGAAAGCUAGGGGAGCGAAUGGG